rnacentral:tRNA from 1 species
GUUAAUGUAGCUUAAUUUAUAAAGCAAGGCACUGAAAAUGCCUAGAUGAGUCCACAAACUCCAUAAACA